rnacentral:rRNA from 1 species
UGGGGAAUAUUGGACAAUGGGCGAAAGCCUGAUCCAGCCAUGCCGCGUGUGUGAAGAAGGUCUUCGGAUUGUAAAGCACUUUAAGUUGGGAGGAAGGGCAGUAAGCGAAUACCUUGCUGUUUUGACGUUACCGACAGAACAAGCACCGGCUAACUCUGUGCCAGCAGCCGCGGUAAUACAGAGGGUGCAAGCGUUAAUCGGAAUUACUGGGCGUAAAGCGCGCGUAGGUGGUUCGUUAAGUUGAAUGUGAAAGCCCCGGGCUCAACCUGGGAACUGCAUCCAAAACUGGCGAGCUAGAGUAGGGCAGAGGGUGGUGGAAUUUCCUGUGUAGCGGUGAAAUGCGUAGAUAUAGGAAGGAACACCAGUGGCGAAGGCGACCACCUGGGCUCAUACUGACACUGAGGUGCGAAAGCGUGGGGAGCAAACAGG